ACAAAAAUCCGCCAUUUUACCACCAACUCAGGUGCGCGUUAAUUAGAAAAUUUUCAUUGAAUAAGGUCCAUUCUAUGAGGAACAGCUUCAAAGAGAAGUAAAAGAGAAGGAGCAGAUACAGCAAGAUAGAGACAAAGAGCAGCAACAGCUUCUUCAAGAAGAGGCAACACUUUUUAGUCAGCAACUUGAUGAUGCUACCACUCUCCUUGAUAAAUCAACUCAGAGUUGAAUUCGAAUGUUAUAAGAAGCUCAAAAUUAAAGAUGCUCAAUUAUUGGAAGAGAAGACACAAGUAGAGAAGAAGAAACAGAUUGUGACUGAGGAAAAUGAGAAACUGAAACUCAAAGUAGCUG